ensembl:lncRNA
CCGAUGGAUCCACGCCGAAACAUCCCCAUGGAUCCAUGCAGGGCCAUCCCGGCAGAUGCAGGCAGGACCAACCCAACGGGGUGCCUCUGGGGUCCCAAGGGCACGGCCCAUCUGCGGGUGACCCCGGGGCUGUGCCGGGCCAGGCAGCGCCUGCAGCACAGCUUCUCCAGGCUGUGGCGGUGGGUGCAGGAGCGCUGGAGGCACUGCCGUGCACAGCCCUUUUGGCAGCGCUGGUCCUCCGUGGGGAGGAAGACUCCCUGAGCCCGAGUGUGGAGCCCGGCAAUACCACAGCCCCACCGCGCUCCCUCCGGCUCAGACCGCUGAAGGGUUUCCCUUCCCGGCUGCUGCUGAUCCCUUCCUAUUCCGGAGUCACACAGCCCAGCAGUGCCCCCGAGCAGCGAUGGGUCCCAAGGACCACUUGGGAUGGUCAUGCAGAUGCUGGUGCUGCUGCAGCACAGCCUGUUUGCAGUCGUGCUGCGGUCCCGGCGGCUGCAGAAGAUCUGCCGGAGGUUGGGGAAGAAGAGGAGAGCGCCGAGCGCCAGGAGGAAGAAGGGGAGAGAUGCUUGCGGGAAGGACAGAGCAGCGGGGAUGUCGUCGCCGACCUGGGAGUUGCGGACGAGCCCACGGGAAAGGAGCAGGAAGCCACCCCGCGCCCCGCUGGCAUCCAUGCUGUCCCUGGGCUCCCUUGAUGAAUCUUCUUCCUCCUCCGGUUCCUCCCUCUACUCCUUCCCAGAGCCCUGGCCCGGUGCACUGUCAGAGUUGGCUGCCCUUGCCCCUCGUGCCGCCCCAGAGCCACGAGAGCCACAACCAGGGCCAGAGCCACAGCAAGAA